rnacentral:rRNA from 1 species
GACGAACGCUGGCGGCGUGCUUAACACAUGCAAGUCGAACGGAAAGGCCCUGCUUUUUUGGUCUGCUCGAGUGGCGAAUGGGUGAGUAACACGUGAGUAACCUGCCCUUGACUUUGUGAUAACUUCAGGAAACUGGGGCUAAUACAGGAUAAGUGCUCCUGCUUCAUGGUUGGCUUUGGAAUGCUUCGGUGGUUGGGGAUGUACUCGCGUCUUAUGAGCUUGCUGGUGGGGUAGUGGAUUACCAAGGCUCUGCAGGGUAGGCCGCCUGAGAGGGUGAGCGGCCACAUUGGGACUGAGAGACGGCCCGGACUACUACGGGAGGCAGGAAUGAGGAGUAUUGAACGAUGGGCGGAAGCCUGAUGCAGCAACGCAGCGUGCGGGAUGACGGAAUGCGGGUUGUAAACCGCUUUCGCCUGUGACGAAGCGAGAGUGACGGUAAUGGGUAAAGAAGCACCGGCUAACUACGUG